CCUACGGGUGGCAGCAGUGAGGAAUAUUGGUCAAUGGACGAGAGUCUGAACCAGCCAAGCAGCGUGAAGGAUGACUGCCCUAUGGGUUGUAAACUUCUUUUAUAUGGGAAUAAAACGUUCCACGUGUGGGAUUUUGUAUGUACCAUAUGAAUAAGGAUCGGCUAACUCCGUGCCAGCAGCCGCGGUAAUACGGAGGAUCCGAGCGUUAUCCGGAUUUAUUGGGUUUAAAGGGUGCGUAGGUGGAUUGUUAAGUCAGUUGUGAAAGUUUGCGGCUCAACCGUAAAAUUGCAGUUGAAACUGGCAGUCUUGAGUACAGUAGAGGUGGGCGGAAUUCGUGGUGUAGCGGUGAAAUGCUUAGAUAUCACGAAGAACUCCGAUUGCGAAGGCAGUUCACUGGACUGCAACUGACACUGAGGCUCGAAAGUGUGGGUAUCAAACAGGAUUAGAUACCCCUGUAGUC
rnacentral:rRNA from 1 species